GAGGAGCCUGCGUCCGAUUAGCUAGUUGGUGGGGUAAAGGCCUACCAAGGCGAUGAUCGGUAGCUGGCCUGAGAGGAUGAUCAGCCAGACUGGGACUGCGACACGGCCCAGACUCCUACGGGAGGCAGCAGUUAGGAAUCUUGGGCAAUGGGCGAAAGCCUGACCCAGCAACGCCGCGUGGGUGACGAAGGCCUUCGGGUCGUAAAGCCCUUUUACACGGGAAGAUAAUGACGGUACCGUGUGAAUAAGCCCCGGCUAACUACGUGCCAGCAGCCGCGGUAAUACGUAGGGGGCGAGCGUUGUCCGGAUUUAUUGGGCGUAAAAGGCUUGUAGGUGGCCACGGCAAGUCGGAUGUGAAAUCUCCCGGCUCAACUGGGAGGGGUCAUUCGAUACUGCCGGGCUCGAGGCCGGUAGGGGGAAGCGGAAUUCCCGGUGUAGUGGUGGAAUGCGUAGAUAUCGGGAGG
rnacentral:rRNA from 1 species